UACGUAGGGUGCGAGCGUUGUCCGGAAUUAUUGGGCGUAAAGAGCUCGUAGGCGGUGUGUCACGUCGGCCGUGAAAACCUGCAGCUUAACUGUGGGCGUGCGGUCGAUACGGGCAUCACUGGAGUUCGGCAGGGGAGACUGGAAUUCCUGGUGUAGCGGUGAAAUGCGCAGAUAUCAGGAGGAACACCGGUGGCGAAGGCGGGUCUCUGGGCAGUAACUGACGCUGGAGGAGCGAAAGCGUGGGGAGCGAACAGG
rnacentral:rRNA from 1 species